AGGACUUUCAAGGACAAAAGUCUUAUAUAGCUACUCAAGGGCCUAAACCAACGACAGUGCCUGACUUUUGGUCAAUGGUUUGGCAAGAAAAGGUGGAUAUCAUUGUGUGUUUGACAAACUUAAAAGAAGGAACGAAGAUCAAAUGUGCUCAGUACUGGCCAGACACAAGAAAAAUGAUAAAAAGUGGUCAAUUUAUUAUUCGGAAUCAAAAUGAAAUAGUGUAUGCCAAUUAUAUCCG